rnacentral:rRNA from 1 species
AGAGUUUGAUCCUGGCUCAGGACGAACGCUGGCGGCGUGCCUAACACAUGCAAGUCGAACGGAACUGUUUUGAAAGAUUUCUUCGGAAUGAAUUUGAUUUAGUUUAGUGGCGGACGGGUGAGUAACGCGUGAGUAACCUGCCUUCAAGAGGGGGAUAACAUUCUGAAAAGAAUGCUAAUACCGCAUGAUAUAUCGGAACCACAUGGUUCUGAUAUCAAAGAUUUUAUCGCUUGAAGAUGGACUCGCGUCCGAUUAGUUAGUUGGUGAGGUAACGGCUCACCAAGACCGCGAUCGGUAGCCGGACUGAGAGGUUGAACGGCCACAUUGGGACUGAGACACGGCCCAGACUCCUACGGGAGGCAGCAGUGGGGGAUAUUGCGCAAUGGGGGCAACCCUGACGCAGCAACGCCGCGUGAAGGAUGAAGGUUUUCGGAUUGUAAACUUCUUUUAUUAAGGACGAAAAAUGACGGUACUUAAUGAAUAAGCUCCGGCUAACUACGUGCCAGCAGCCGCGGUAAUACGUAGGGAGCAAGCGUUGUCCGGAUUUACUGGGUGUAAAGGGUGCGUAGGCGGCUUUGCAAGUCAGAUGUGAAAUCUAUGGGCUCAACCCAUAAACUGCAUUUGAAACUGUAGAGCUUGAGUGAAGUAGAGGCAGGCGGAAUUCCCCGUGUAGCGGUGAAAUGCGUAGAGAUGGGGAGGAACACCAGUGGCGAAGGCGGCCUGCUGGGCUUUAACUGACGCUGAGGCACGAAAGCGUGGGUAGCAAACAGGAUUAGAUACCCUGGUAGUCCACGCUGUAAACGAUGAUUACUAGGUGUGGGGGGUCUGACCCCUUCCGUGCCGGAGUUAACACAAUAAGUAAUCCACCUGGGGAGUACG